CCUACGGGUGGCAGCAGUGGGGAAUAUUGCACAAUGGGCGAAAGCCUGAUGCAGCAACGCCGCGUGAGUGAUGCCGGCCUUCUGGUGUUACAUCCUCUUCUUGAGGGACGAAAAUGACGGUACCUGUGGCGGAAGCCACGUCUAACUCCGUGCCAGCAGCCGUGGUAAUACGUAGGUAGCAAGCGUUGUCCGGAUUUACUGGGCGUAAUGGGUUCGUAGGCGGUCUUGUAAGUGAGCUGUGAAAUGCUCGGGCUCAACUUGAGUAGUGCAUUUGCAACUUGAAGGCUAGAGUGCGGGAGAGGAAAAGGGAAUGCCUGGUGUAGCGGUGAAAUGCGUAGAGAUUAGGAAGAACACCGGUGGCGAAGGCGGUUUACUGGACUGUAACUGACGCUGAGGAACGAAAGCGUGGGGAGCAAACAGGAUUAGAUACCCGAGUAGUC
rnacentral:rRNA from 1 species